ensembl:snRNA U6 U6 spliceosomal RNA
GUGCUCCCUUUGGCAGCACAUAUAUGAAGUUGAACAAUACAGGAAGGAUUAGCAUGGCCCUUGGGCAAGAACGGCACCCAAACUCAUGAAACAUUCCAUUUAAUU